AUUGAACGCUGGCGGCAGGCCUAACACAUGCAAGUCGAGCGAGCGGCGGACGGGUGAGUAAUGUCUGGGAAACUGCCUGAUGGAGGGGGAUAACUACUGGAAACGGUAGCUAAUACCGCAUACCAUCAGAUGUGCCCAGAUGGGAUUAGCUAGUUGGUGGGGUACCGGCUCCCCUAGGCCACGCACCCUAGCUGUGCUGAGAGGAUGACCAGCCACACUGGAACUGAGACACGGUCCAGACGCAUACGGGAGGCAGCAGUAGGGAGUAUUGGACAAUGGGCUCAAGCCUGAUGCAGCCAUGCCGCGUGUGUGAAGGAGGCAUUCGGGUGGUAAAGUAAUUUCAGCGGGGAAGCGUGACCCACACAAGAAGCACCGGCGAACUCCGUGCCAGCAGCCGCGGUAAUAC
rnacentral:rRNA from 1 species